rnacentral:rRNA from 1 species
UGAAGCGGUAACAGCUCAAAUUUGAAAUCUGGGUCUUUCAGGCUCCGAGUUGUAAUUUGUAGAAGAUGCUUUGGGUGCGGUCCCGGUCUAAGUUCCUUGGAACAGGACGUCAUAGAGGGUGAGAAUCCCGUAUGUGAUCGGUGGCUUGCGCCCGUGUAAAGCUCUUUCGACGAGUCGGGUUGUUUGGGAAUGCAGCUCUAAAUGGGUGGUAAAUUUCAUCUAAAGCUAAAUAUUGGCCAGAGACCGAUAGCGCACAAGUAGAGUGAUCGAAAGAUGAAAAGCACUUUGGAAAGAGAGUUAAACAGUACGUGAAAUUGUUGAAAGGGAAGCGCUUGCAACCAGACUUGCGCGGGGUUGAUCAUCCGGGGUUCUCCCCGGUGCACUCGGCCUCGCUCAGGCCAGCAUCGGUUUCGGUGGUUGGAUAAAGGCCUUGGGAAUGUGACUUCUUUCGGGGAGUGUUAUAGCCCUCGGUGCAAUGCAGCCUACCGGGACCGAGGACCGCGCUUCGGCUAGGAUGCUGGCGUAAUGGUUGUAAGCGACCCGUCUUGAAACACGGACCAAGGAGUCUAACAUCUAUGCGAGUGUUUGGGCGUCAAACCCAUACGCGUAAUGAAAGUGAACGGAGGUGAGAACCCUUAAGGGUGCAUCAUCGACCGAUCCUGAUGUCUUCGGAUGGAUUUGAGUAAGAGCAUAGCUGUUGGGACCCGAAAGAUGGUGAACUAUGCCUGAAUAGGGUGAAGCCAGAGGAAACUCUGGUGGAGGCUCGCAGCGGUUCUGACGUGCAAAUCGAUCGUCAAAUUUGG